rnacentral:rRNA from 1 species
AGUCGACGGACGCUUUCGGGCGUCAUUGGCAGACGGGUGAGUACGCGUGGGAACCUACCCAUUGGUGCGGAAUAACCCGGGGAAACCCGUGCUAAUACCGCAUACGCCCUGGUUUUACGAUCGGGGGAAAGAUUUAUUGCCGAUGGAUGGGCCCGCGUCUGAUUAACUUGUUGGUGUGGUAACGGCGCACCAAGGCGACGAUCCGUAGCUGGUCUGACAGGAUGAUCACCCGCUCUGGGACUGACACACCGCCCAGACUCCUACAGGAGGCACCAAUGGGGAAUAUUGGACAAUGGGCGCAAGCCUGAUCCAUCCAUGCCACGUGAGUGAAGAAGGCCUUAGGGUUGUAAAUCUCUUUCGGCGGGGAAGAUAAUGACCGUACCCGCAGAAGAAGCCCCGGCUAACUCCGUGCCAUCAGCCGCGGUAAUACGGAGGGGGCUAGCGUUGUUCGGAUUUAUUGGGCGUAAAGAGCUCGUAGGCGGUUCAACAAGUCCGGUGUUAAACCCCCAGGCUUAACCUGGGGCCGCCACCCGAAACUGUUGUGACUACACUUUGGUACGGGAUCACGGAAUUCCUGGUGUAGCGGUGGAAUGCGCAGAUAUCAGGAGGAACACCAGUAGCGAAGGCUGUGAUCUGGGCCAAUACUGACGCUGACGACCGAAAGCGUGGGGAGCGAACAGGAUUAGAUACCCUGGUAGA